GGUGUAGCACAGUUGGCUAGCGCGUCUGAUUUGGGAUCAGAAGGUCAGGGGUUCAAGUCCCUUCACC
rnacentral:tRNA from 1 species